CUUGGUCAUUUAGAGGAAGUAAAAGUCGUAACAAGGUUUCCGUAGGUGAACCUGCGGAAGGAUUGGCUUCUGACGCCUUCGUGGCUGGAUGUUGUUGUGCAAGGCCCUUCUGGGCAUGUGCACACCUCUGGUCACUUGUUUCUUUUGUUCCACCUGUGCACCGCCUGUAGGCACACUCGGUGUCUAUGAUAUGUUACAUACACACAUAUACAGAUGUUGGGCAUAUUACAUAUAUAUAAUAAAGUACAACUUUCAACAAUGGAUCUCUUGGCUCUCGCAUCGAUGAAGGACACAGCGAAAUGUGAUAAGUAAUGUGAAUUGCAGAAUCCAGUGAAUCAUCGAAUCUUUGAACGCAUCUUGCGCUCCUUGGCAUUCCAAGGAGCAUGCCUGUUUGAGUGUCGUUAAACUAUCAAAACACUUUUCUUUGGGUGUUUUGGACUUUGGGAGUAAUCUUGCUGGUCUUGUUUGAGCCAGCUCUCCUCAAAAGCAUUAGCUUUGGAGACCAUCAGUGUGAUAAUUGGUUUACACUGACUCGAGUGUCUCAGCUUCUCAUUUGAAAUGCCCCUUUGACCUCAAAUCAGGUAGGACUACCCGCUGAACUUAAGCAUAUCAAUAAGCGGAGGAA
rnacentral:rRNA from 1 species